rnacentral:rRNA from 1 species
GAUGAACGCUGGCGGCGUGCCUAAUACAUGCAAGUCGAACGGAAAGAUCAUGAUCUUGCUCCGUUCACGUUAGCGGCGGACGGGUGUGUAACGCGUGGAUAACCUACUUAUAUUUCUGGGAUCAUUACGUAAAACCGGCUAUAAUACCAGAGAAUAUAUUGAACCGCGGUGGGCAAUGGAAAAUUGCGGUUUUUGUGUAUCGAUUAGCGGGUUCCGCGCUGGAUUAGCUAGUUGGUACGGUAACGGCCUACCAAGGCGACGAUGCGUAUCCGAGCUGAGGGGCUGAUCGGCCACACUGGAGCUGAGACACGGUCCAGACUCCUACGGGAGGCAGCAGUGGGGAAUAUUCGGCAAUGGGCGAAAGCAUGACGCAGCAAGCCCGAGUGAGUGAUGAAGGCCUUCGGUUCGUAAAGCCCUUUUUUUGGGUAAGAACAGCUGUGUACUUAAACAUGGCCGUCUUGACGGUACCUAAUCAAAAAGCACCGGCUAACUACGUG